AGUGAACGCUGGCGGUAGGCCUAACACAUGCAAGUCGAACGGCAGCACAGUAAGAGCUUGCUCUUACGGGUGGCGAGUGGCGGACGGGUGAGGAAUACAUCGGAAUCUACUUUUUCGUGGGGGAUAACGUAGGGAAACUUACGCUAAUACCGCAUACGACCUACGGGUGAAAGCAGGGGAUCUUCGGACCUUGCGCGAUUGAAUGAGCCGAUGUCGGAUUAGCUAGUUGGCGGGGUAAAGGCCCACCAAGGCGACGAUCCGUAGCUGGUCUGAGAGGAUGAUCAGCCACACUGGAACUGAGACACGGUCCAGACCCCUACGGGAGGCAGCAGGGGGGAAUAUUGGAAAAUGGGCGAAAGCCUGACCCAGCCAUCCCGGGUGGGUGAAGAAGGCCUGCGGGUUGUAAAGCCCUUUUGUUGGGAAAAAAAAGCAGCAGGUUAAUACCCCGCUGUUCUGACGGUACCCAAAGAAUAAGCACCGGCUAACUUCGU
rnacentral:rRNA from 1 species